UACGUAGGGUGCAAGCGUUAAUCGGAAUACUGGGCGUAAAGCGUGCGCAGGCGGUGAUGUAAGACAGAUGUGAAAUCCCCGGGCUUAACCUGGGAACUGCGUUUCUAACUGGCAGGCUUGAGUGUGGCAGAGGGGGGUGGAAUUCCACGUGUAGCAGUGAAAUGCGUAGAGAUGUGGAGGAACACCGAUGGCGAAGGCAGCCCCCUGGGCUAACACUGACGCUCAUGCACGAAAGCGUGGGGAGCAAACAGG
rnacentral:rRNA from 1 species